UACGGGAGGCAGCAGUAGGGAAUAUUGGGCAAUGGAGGCAACUCUGACCCAGCCAUGCCGCGUGCAGGAUGAAGGCGUUAUGCGUUGUAAACUGCUUUUAUAUAGGAAGAAAUAGACCUUGCGAGGUAAUUUGACGGUACUAUAUGAAUAAGCACCGGCUAACUCCGUGCCAGCAGCCGCGGUAAUACGGAGGGUGCAAGCGUUGUCCGGAUUUAUUGGGUUUAAAGGGUGCGUAGGCGGUUUAUUAAGUCAGUGGUGAAAGACGGUCGCUCAACGAUUGCAGUGCCAUUGAUACUGGUAGACUUGAGUGAGAUUGAGGUAGCUGGAAUGGAUAGUGUAGCGGUGAAAUGCAUAGAUAUUAUCCAGAACACCAAUUGCGUAGGCAAGUUACUAAGUCUCAACUGACGCUGAGGCACGAAAGUGUGGGUAUCAAACCAGGAUUAGAUACCCUGGUAGUCCACACUGUAAACGAUGAUAACUAACUGUUGGCUUUCGGGUCAGUGGUACAGAGAAAUCGUUAAGUAUC
rnacentral:rRNA from 1 species